UUGUGACUUAACAGCAAGUAUGCUGAAAUUGGAGCAAUGCAGAAAAGAUUAGCAUGGUCCCUGCACAAGGAUACACAAAUCUGUGCAGUGUUCCAUCCCUUU